GUUUUCCAUUGAGUUCCCUUGAGCACUUCAAUAUGCAUAUGCCUUACUGGAAUUUACGAGAAAGGGCAUAUUGGUAGCCUACUGAAGUGUUUGGGGGAACUCUGUGGACUAC
rnacentral:pre_miRNA from 1 species